rnacentral:lncRNA from 1 species
AUUGAACUGAAGUCAGAGACCCCUAUGGAGAAAUUAGGGAAAGGACUGAAGGAGCUGAAGAGGAAGGCAAUCUCAUAAGAAAACCAGAAGUCUCAACUAACCCAGACAGACCCCUGGGAGCUCUGGGAGACUGAGCCACCAACCAGGCAGGAUACAUGGGCUUGUCCGAGGACCCCCCAGCACACAUUUAGCAGAUGACUGCCUGGUCUGGCCUCAGUGAGAGAAGAUGUGCCUAAUCCUCAAGAGACUUGAGGCCCCAGAGAAGGAGGAUGCCAGGGUAGGGAGUACCCUCCUGGAGAGCAACCAUCAUUGCUAAAUGCUGGUCAAUUUCUGGUUGGCUGGCAGAUUCUCCUUCGCCUCUGAGAGGGUCGUGCAUCAACUUCAGCUCACUUUCCCAAGAUUUGCUGGAGUUUUUGUUCUGUGCAGCAAGAUUCACUGCUGGAGGAUCAAUGACUGAACCUGGGAAAAGCUGGGCAAGCUCAGCAUUAAUCACAACAGAAACAGCUUCGUUGGGCGGAGUAAGCGGUGGAGUCAUAAAGAGUGGUGUUGUUUUUGGAGUGGGGGGAAUAACAUCAGAUGGAUGGAUGAAGAAUCCAGGAGCAGCCACUGGGUUGGAAGGCACUGCAUUGUGAACAGGACCUGCUGCUGCUGCUGCCGCUGCUGAUGCAGCUGCUGCUGCUGCCGCUGUUGUCUGAUGCAGCUUGGCUUCCAGCUUUGCUUUCUGUAAAAGUAAAAGCAAUGCCUGUAGAGAGUCCUGGCGAAGUUGUGAGGACACUUGAUGAUCACAUGUAAAAAACUUAAAUGACAUUAGUAAGAUUCUGCUUACAUGAGACAAAACUGGACUUAACACAUGAAGCACUGCCUUGUUAGGAACAUUUCUUAGUAUAUUAUGCAAAAUUUUCUUAUAUAUUAAGGGAACUAGAAAGUGCUCAAAAAAUGAAAAGCCAGCAGAACCAUUAAAUAUAAAUAAUGAAACCAGCUCUGCACAGAAUAAAAUGAAGCAAAUGAACUCAUUGUUAACUGACAGGAUACAAUUUCUCAAGCAGAGUUUGCACAGGUUGCAUUUAGUCAGCAAUUAAAUCCAUAAACCAUGUUAUCAUAAUUGCUGUACUUAGAAUCAAACUAAUGUCCUCCAAUUUAUAAUGUCCAACAGUCUCUGUGCCAUGAAAACAGUAACUGAUAACAAUAUAAUGUUUCUCCAAAAGUUUUUAAACAUAAAAGUACAAGUGACUUCAAGGCUACUCAAAAAGUAUCAUUUUUUUCUCAAUCACAUCCUAAAUAAAAUGCAGUCAUAGAAUAAUAAAUUUAAACAUAUCAUAGAAUAAUACAUUUAAACAUAUCACAAAGGCAUUACCUCAAAUUUUUUGUUGAAAAUGAUUAGCUCAGAUUGGACAACCUACUUUUCCUUUCUGAAAACAAUGGUCAUUUUUACAGUACUUUUCAGCUUUUGAAGUUUAGAGACAGCAUGAACAAAGAGCCAAAUAGUCUCCAACCUGUUGCUGAAGCUUCAAAAGCUGCUGCUGUUUCUCUUGCAGCACCUGCAGCUGUUGCUCGGCUGAAGCCAUUGCAUGAGAGAGAGACUGCAAAGCUACCUGGGCUGCUGAACUCAGGGCUGUCGAGGCUUCCCCAACUGUGCCAGAUGAGAGGCCACCUACUGCAGGAGGAACCCCGAAGGAACUCACUGGCAUGAGACAAGGGAAAGACAAAACAAGACACCAGGAUGAAGAAAAGACCAUGGAGCAUGUGUGGAAGUACUGUGGAAUCUGCUGGCUCUUUUCACCAACACAGGUCUCAGAGAUGAACUUAGGGCAUCAGCAUUGGCAGUAAGCAUCAACUACCUACUGAACCACCCUGGUCGCCUAGUCUGAACUUUCUAAAUGGAAUCAGUUCUUUUUCUUUUCUAAAAUUAUAAAUCUCUGUAUCUCUCAGAGC